AAUAGAUACCCCGGUAGUCCACGCCGUAAACGAUGAGCACUAGUUAUUGGGGGUAUUGACUCCCUCAGUGACGCAGCUAACGCAUUAAGUGCUCCGCCUGGGGAGUACGGUCGCAAGACUAAAACUCAAACAAAUUGACGGGGGCCCGCACAAGCGGUGGAUUAUGUGGUUUAAUUCGAAGCAACGCGCAGAACCUUACCUAGGCUUGAACUCCUCAGAACCCGGCGUAAUGGCCGGGGUGCCCGCAAGGGAAUUGAGUGAGAGGUGCUGCAUGGCUGUCGUCAGCUCGUGUUGUGAAAUGUUGGGUUAAGUCUCGCAACGAGCGCAACCCCUAUCGUCUGUUGCCAGCAUUAAGUUGGGCACUCUGACGAGACUGCCUGGGUUAACCAGGAGGAAGGUAGGGAUGACGUCAAGUCCUCAUGGCCCUUAUGUCUAGGGCUACACACGUAAUACAAUGGCGCGUACAGAGGGAAGCGAACUCGCAAGGGGGAGCAAAUCUCAAAAAGCGCGCCUCAGUUCGGAUUGGAGU
rnacentral:rRNA from 1 species